UCCAGCACGUUGUACAGCGAAACGGCCCCAGAAGCCCCUCUCCGAGGCGCGAGUUCGGUUUGGUUCUGGCAGGGGCUUUGCAGCUGUCCGGAAGGUGAAGUCAGCCUUGUGUCCUGAGGAGAAACUGGAGAUGCAGGUCGCUGUGCCCUCCCGCUGCUACGUCGCUGCGCCGGAUCCUGCCAUCCUUCCGCAAGGGGUGAGAGCGGGAACAGCCCUGCCCUGCCUUCCAGGUAUUAUCUAGCCUGGAGGCUGGAGCGCAAGGUAACGCUCCGGGAAGUGGCACUCGGGUCCCCGCACACGGGCGAGUCCUCAGCAGUUCAGUGGACAGACCCGCAGGACGCGGCUGCCAAGUCCGCGAGGCAAGGACCAGGCAUCUUCCCGCGCCUCACUCCAGCCUGCGGACUGUGACUUUCCAUCCCAGUAUCAGACAAGCUCGCGAGUAACUGAACAUCCUUUCCAGUCCAUGGGUGGGGUGUGGAAAGGGCGUAAAACUCCAAAGUGGCUCCUCCGCGGUGAGCGAGCUGCCCCGGGGCUCUGCCUGACUGCAGCGCGAAGCCUGGGAGAACAAACCCAGUUCCCUCCGUCAAGAAAUUUCCAUUUAAGUCCGAGAAAGUCAUAUGAUUGAGAAGUUCAGCAGCGGCGGCGAGGACCCAGUGUCUGGGAAAGAACACCUGGAGGAUGGGGUGUCCAGGACGCCGGCUUUUCGGGGUUCCGACCCCACCCACCUUAUGUUGUAACAUACAAGCUUAGAGACCUGUUGCAAGGAACAACUGACUGGGUCUUCCACCACCCCUGGCACCCGGGUGGCCCAAAGCCUAUGCGCCCUUGGCGGAGAGAGAGGCCACGGUGCCACUGGCCGCAGCCUCUGGCCUUCAGAAACAGUGUAUUACAAAGAAAAGGCAGUUUAAAUCUCACAUUCAGCAUAGGGAAAACUGAAGGGUGCCAGGCUCGGGGACUUCUUCCAACAGAGUGGCUCUUCCCCAAAUAUGAAAGAAAAUCAUCAAAUUAAAUUGAAGGCAAAACUAAGCUUCCACCACAAAGACAUAGCAGAUAGUUGCAAGGUGGAUUCCUUCGGGCCUUUUCCUUUCCUAAGGCUAAAACAAUGCUAAGACAAAAGUCUUCUUGCAGCUGUCUCCGCCCCUCCGAGAUAAAUACUUUCCCAAUUCUCCCCCACCCUGUACACACACCCACGCCCGCGGCAGCUGAUUUCUGUCUUCUGCAAUAGCUCGAUUUAAAUGCUUUGCUUUUACUCUUUAUUAUCACUAUUAUUUGUGUGAAGCCCUCUCGCCUGCUCCUGGUCACCAGCAGGAGCCUGCUUCCCUCCCUCCUUCCCCCCAAGCCUCUGGGCAGCAGAAGCUAGCUGGGAGCUCUGUGCAGCUGGCGGCGACGCCAUGUGACUGUGAGCCGAGCACCAUCACCCAGAGUCACUCUCUAGCUUUCCCCUAAUACACUUCACACCCACGCACUGUGGAGGUGCGAGAGAGGUUGCUCCGUGCGGUGCUAUUCGAGGCAGAUGCAGAGAGCGCCCUGGACAGAAAUUAAUCAGAGAACCCAGGACAACGUCAGAGAUCAUAUGAGCCUCACCAGACUGCAUGAGAGUCAUAACACAGUAGGAGUCCCAGGCCUACCUCACAUGGCAAAUGGGACAGUGUUCUUCAGAACAACCUCUGCCCCAGGGAUGCAGAAAGGAGGGUUUCACUAUGUUGGCCAGUCUGGUGUUGAACUCCUCACCUCAAAUGAUCUGCCCACCUUGGCCUCCCAAAGCGUUGGAGUUACAGACGUGAGCCACCGCGCCCAGCUGGAGAAGAUGUGAAAUUUUGAGAGCUGACCAUACUUUGAGAAUAAUAAGUAGUUGGAUUCUACUGAAGCCCAGUGGCUUUUGGAGGUGUAGCAAUAAGCAGGAGGCAGCAGAAGUAAGACAAGGGCUGUAUGACAAAGUCUUGGCAAGAACUUUGAAUUUUAUCCUGAUGUGAGUGGGGAGAGCCACUGAAGAACGUGAAGCCAGAAACACUACAUGUUACUACUUCUACUUUCAGAAAAGGCUUAAUAUGGAUUAUACACCUACAAGUGGCACACACUGUUCCAAGUGGAGACUCAAAGAUGAUAACGAUACAGUGUUUAUGCUAUAGGUUUGUGAAGCUACCAAUCCAUGGACAGAUGUUAAACCUAACUUCCAAUUUCAGGUACAAAUAUCUGAGUAAAUGAUGGUAUCAUUUACUCAAUCAGUAAAGGUCAAAGAGAAGGCAGUCUGAAGAAGGGAAAGGUGUUCAAUUUUGCAUUGAGUUUGACAUACCUGUUGAGACAGCUCAGUGGAGAUAUCCAGUUGAUGCUUGGAUAUAUGGACUUACAGCUCAGGGGGAGCUAGAAAUUGAAAUUUGAGAAUCAUCAACCUAUAUUUAUAAUGGGUGAAAUCAAUAAGUCGGAAUCAAAUUACCUGGGGAAGCAUGCAGAUUUGUUUAAAAAGGAAGAGGCCUGAGAACCCAACCCUGGUAAGCAUGACCAUUCAGGAUAAGAGAGAAGGAGCAAGUAGGGAAAGAGACUGAAAUAAAGAAACCUGAGUAACCACUGAGGACCACUGCUACAAUAGAGAAAAAGGAACUUCAUUAGGGAAAUGCCUGAAAGCGAAUAAGGUAAGGAUUUUGGAUUUAGCAACAAAGAGGUCAUUUGAAGAAGUUGUUUUUAUUUUUAUUUCCUUGCAGAAUUGUAGAAAUAGAAAUCAAAUCAGAGUGAGCAGAGAAACAAUUUGAAGAUAAGGGAAUGGAGAUAAUUAUUUUAAAGUGGGAGAAGCAAGCAGAAGAUUUAGGUUUGAAGAAGGCACUAUACAAAAUAAUGUUGAUUCACUUGAGACUUGAGUGGCUGUUACAGCCACUCUCACAGGUCCCGAGGCUGAGCCUGCACAGGUGUUUCGACAACUAAGCUGCAAUUUUGACAGACACUAUUUCACUGUCAAUUGUGCGGCCUGCAACAACUUGGACAUCUUUUAUUGAUUUUAUUGAGUACUUUAAUAACAUUUUAAUAAAAGCCAUUAUAUUUUAUUUCUAACAUUU
rnacentral:lncRNA from 1 species